UAUUAUGGUGAGCUGACAAGGCAACCUUGUGUUGACCGUUUGGUGUUAACGGUAGUUCCAAACCUUGUUCAGCUUGCCACCCAU
rfam:Vibrio sp. MEBiC08052 genomic scaffold scaffold00002, whole genome shotgun sequence.